AUUUUCAAGGGGUGGGACCCGAGACUUGAACCCAGGUCUUCCAGAGUGGAAAGUCGAAGCGUUUCCACGCGCCAUCCGGCUGAUCUGAAAAUCUAAGUUUUAUAAACAAAACUGUUACAAUAAACUUUACGCUUAUGAAUUAGUUAGCUAAAAACUCGGAAAUGUUCGUAAUUGAUAUAUUAUUCGAUGAAAUCUUUGAUUCAUUUUUUUUUGUAUAAACAAUAUAAAUUUAUACUGUGUUCAAAAUUGACUCAAAAUUGUUUCGUCUCUGGAAAGAUUAGGAGAAUGUUAUCAUUCUGCAAACUUCAACGAUAAAUAUUACUAGGUGAUUGAACUAAUGUCAUGAACUGUACCGAAUCUUUCUUGUGUUAUCUAUAUCCACCUACUUUACUGUAACACUAUAAUUACAGAUAUAUAGAGAUGAAAUUCACAAACUUUGUUUGUUUUAUAAUUUCAUCAUAAGGUUCAUAAAGAUCUUAAGACAUUUUCCGAAGGGCUACAAGGCUGUGCUCUACUAUAAGUUAUUGCUGUGAGGUGUAACUAGGUUUUAAUCAUCGCCAAACUCAGUGGAGACAAAGUCCACCACCAGGUCCAUGAAACAAGGGAGGCCAACCAGCCCGCCAGAUAGAAGCUUCUUCAGCAACAGUGUUGCUGUAGCUGCCGGUAAUAGGUGAAGAAGGUGGCAUAAAAUGCUGCAAACAACUGGUCUCGAAGGAUCAGAAAAAACAACCCACUCGAAAAUAAGGUUCAACGGCGAUGAAUCCUCUCGCUACAGGAGCUCCUGAUAGCUCAACGCGACCGCGACAAAAGCCGACGACCGGCCGAAAGCAGUUACGCGCACUUCUUUCUUGUAACCACUUCCCAACAUUAACUAGGUCUCAGGUAACUUUCACUUCUAGUGAUGAGAAAGAAUCCGCCCGACUUGAGUAUUUCAAGUCGGGCGGAUUGGCUGCGCGGCCGCUUCGGUUUCGACCCCUUCCGGGUUCGAGUCUCGGUCUCACCCCCUUGAAAAUAUUUAUCAUGGGUCCGGGCCCGUCCCGUCGAUCCCUUUCCUCU
rnacentral:lncRNA from 1 species